AGAGUUUGAUCAUGGCUCAGAACGAACGCUGGCGGCGUGCCUAACACAUGCAAGUCGUACGAGAAAUCCUGGGCAACUGGGAAAGUAAAGUGGCGCACGGGUGAGUAACGCGUGGGUAACCUACCCUUGAAUUGGGGAUAACUCUUCGAAAGGGGAGUUAAUACCGAAUAAUAUUCCAAUCCCCCCGGGAAUUGGAAUCAAAGGUGGCCUCUGCAUGCAAGCUAUCAUUUGAGGAUGGGCCCGCGUACCAUUAGCUAGUUGGUAGGGUAAUGGCCUACCAAGGCAACGAUGGUUAGCUGGUCUAAGAGGAUGGCCAGCCACACUGGAACUGAGACACGGUCCAGACUCCUACGGGAGGCAGCAGUGGGGAAUCUUGCGCAAUGGGGGAAACCCUGACGCAGCAACGCCGCGUGGGUGAUGAAGGCCUUCGGGUCGUAAAGCCCUGUCAGGUGGGAAGAAACUUGUGGAUGUUAAUACCAUCCAUGCUUGACGGUACCACCGGAGGAAGCACCGGCUAACUCCGUGCCAGCAGCCGCGGUAAUACGGAGGGUGCAAGCGUUGUUCGGAAUUAUUGGGCGUAAAGCGCGUGUAGGUGGUCGUGUAAGUCAGAUGUGAAAGCCUUCUGCUUAACAGAAGAAGGGCAUUUGAGACUGCUCGACUAGAGUACGGGAGAGGAGAGUGGAAUUCCCGGUGUAGAGGUGAAAUUCGUAGAUAUCGGGAGGAACACCAGUGGCGAAGGCGGCUCUCUGGUCCGAUACUGACACUG
rnacentral:rRNA from 1 species